rnacentral:rRNA from 1 species
GAUGAACGCUGGCGGUAUGCUUUACACAUGCAAGUCGUACGAGAGUUUUGAACUCAAGUGGCGGACGGGUGAGUAACACGUAAGAAUUUGCCUUUAGGAGGGGGACAACAACUGGAAACGGUUGCUAAUACCCUAUAUGCUUUCGAGUGAAACGGUUUUUCCGCCUAAAGAGAAGCUUGCGGCUGAUUAGCUUGUUGGUAAGGUAAUGGCUUACCAAGGCGACGAUCAGUAUCUGGUUUGAGAGGACGAUCAGACACACUGGAACUGAGACACGGUCCAGACUCCUACGGGAGGCAGCAGUGGGGAAUUUUCCGCAAUGGGCGAAAGCCUGACGGAGCAAUACCGCGUGAGGGAUGAAUGCCUAUGGGUUGUAAACCUCUUUUUUCAGGGAGGAAUCAAUGACGUUACCUGAAGAAUAAGCAUCGGCUAACUCCGUGCCAGCAGCCGCGGUAAGACGGAGGAUGCAAGUGUUAUCCGGAAUCACUGGGCGUAAAGCGUCUGUAGGUGGUUUGAUAAGUCAACUGUUAAAUCUUGAGGCUCAACCUCAAAACCGCAGUCGAAACUAU